rnacentral:rRNA from 1 species
AGUAAACGCUGGCGGUAGGCCUAACACAUGCAAGUCGAACGGCAGCACAGGAGAGCUUGCUCUCUGGGUGGCGAGUGGCGGACGGGUGAGGAAUACAUCGGAAUCUACUUUUUCGUGGGGGAUAACGUAGGGAAACUUACGCUAAUACCGCAUACGACCUACGGGUGAAAGCAGGGGAUCUUCGGACCUUGCGCGAUUGAAUGAGCCGAUGUCGGAUUAGCUAGUUGGCGGGGUAAAGGCCCACCAAGGCGACGAUCCGUAGCUGGUCUGAGAGGAUGAUCAGCCACACUGGAACUGAGACACGGUGCAGACUCCUACGGGAGGCAGCAGUGGGGAAUAUUGGACAAUGGGCGCAAGCCUGAUCCAGCCAUACCGCGUGGGUGAAGAAGGCCUUCGGGUUGUAAAGCCCUUUUGUUGGGAAAGAAAUCCAGCUGGUUAAUACCCGGUUGGGAUGACGGUACCCAAAGAAUAAGCACCGGCUAACUUCGUGCCAGCAGCCGCCGUAA